GGGCCCUUAGCUCAGCUUGGUUAGAGCGCUGCUCUGAUAAGGCAGAGGUCUUGUGUUCGAAUCACAAAGGGCCCA
rnacentral:tRNA from 1 species